CAAGAGUUUAACAGCGUACCAGCCCCACGUCUUUGCCACCUGCAAGCAGGCGGCAAAGAUUCUUUGCCAUCUGCUUGCAAAUGGCAAAGAGAUGGGGUUAUUUUUUUCCAGGUAAAAAAAACUAUGGGGUUAUCCCCUCCCUCUCUCCACACCCAUCCAGGUAAAAAAAACAUUCGCCGCCACUCACUCCUUCCUUCCUCACCCUAGCCCCAAUCCACAGGCCCACGCCCCUCGCUCCUUCCUUCCUCACCCGCCGCUGCUCCCUCCCACCUCCUCCUCCUCCUUCUACGCCCUAGGAGCCCCGCCGUCGCCCUGCUGCUACUCCUCCACCGGCCCGCCCUGCUGUGUCGCGAGCCCCUGCCUCCUCUUCGCGUUCCGGUGGUCGAUAGUCGGGGUCAACGAGGAGAUGCACGCGGCGGCGGCCAUGGACGACUCCAGAAGCGGGACCACCGCCAUCGUGGCACCUGCGGCCGGCGGCGCACUCCACGGGGCUCGGGAUGUCCGCGGCAGCGCGGGCUGUGGACCGAGAGGCGGGUCCCUUGAUGCGUUCCAUUCGAGGGGCUGGUCGGGCUGGCGCGGGAUCUGAGCCACCGUUGAUGGAUUUCUCGCAGCUUGGCUCCUGUUGAUUUGGAUCUGAUACGAUCUCUCUCUCUCUCUCUCUCUCUCUCUCUCUCUGAGACUCAACCAGGCACUCACAGGUAUGAACACAAUGUUGAAAUUUUUGCUACUCCGUCGUCGUCAACGCCGUCGACCACCUGGGCACGGUGGCCUAAAAGCUGAUGGACCUGUUCGAGCAGCAGGCUUCCGAGAUCUUGACCUUCAAGCUCAAGGUUGCGCGCUCCGUUCGAGGGGCUGGUCGGGCUGGCGCGGGAUCUGAGCCACCAUUGAUGGAUUUCUCGCAGCUUGGCUCCUGUUGAUUUGGAUCCGGUACGAUCUCUCUCUCUCUCUCUCUCUCUCUCCGAGACUCAACCAGGCACUCAUAGGUAUGAACACAAUGUUGAGAUUUUUGCUACUCCGUCGUCGUCAACGCCGUCGACCACCUGGGCACGGUGGCCUAAAAGCUGACGGACCUGUUUGAGCAGCAGGCUUCCGAGAUCUCGACCUUCGAGCUCAAGGUUGCGCGCUUGAACCAGCAAAUCUUCACCUGCCAAAUCUAUGUGGACAAAGAAGGCUCUAGGCAACAGCAAAUGAUGGGGACAAGCAUGAAGCACCACAAGAAAUCAUAUCUCUUCAGAUAAGAAAUACUGUACUGGAGUUCAGAAAUCAUAUCUCUUCAGAUAAGAUUUUCAACGGACUCUUGAAUAGAUGCGAUAUUUGCUUGAGCAGCCAUGAAUUAUACUACUAGAUCUUGCUUGCCGUUCCGCCGCCACAGUAUAUGUACAAGGACUGCUUAAAAUGUCUGUAAACAAAGAUAUCUUGUAUUUAUGCUGCUAUAACUGAUGGUCACCAGUUUGCUCUGGUGGAUUCUUCUAUGCUUGCACUGUUAACUAUCUUUAGAAAAAUCUCAUGUAUAUGUAGAUUCUCAUGGUACAUAAUUUCUGAUUAUAGUUGUGCCUGUCAAUUUGUAUUCACACUAAAUGUAUCCUCUUUCCUCUGUUGAUACUGUUUCGUUUGCAUGCAACUAGCUACUGUCGGGCACAACACUAACAACACCGAGUAUUUAGAACCUAAUUUGUAUCUUUCUUUUACUAUUUACAUAGCAUUCUGAAGUUGUCAUCGCUGAUGGAAAAUGAAACUAUACGCAGGUGAUGCUCCUGGGUGACUCCAGUCUGAGAAAGAGGGAAAUGCAGGUCACGGUAGCUUGCAACCAUUUUUGGGAUGGAUUUAUCGAUAGAAUGCUGAGGAUUCUUGCGAUCAUUUAGGGUUGAAGUAUAUUCUCCUUUCAUGACACAAGUGCUACGGCUAUGAAGAUGACGUGUUGAAGAAGCACCAUCGAUGUCAGCGCCACCGUCCUUGGCAUGGAGAAGACGCCACUCCCAAAUCGUCUCUGUACUGCAUCUAGCUUCUUCUGGAGAUUCUUCUAGAGGUUCUACACCGGCGGCCACGUCUGCGGCUUCCUCCAGUUCCCCACCUUCGGGCUUAAAGCCUGGAAGCAAAUGUAACUUCCAUAUGACUUUUUUUUCUUGCUGAACAAUUGGUAAGUCUAACUGGUUAAAAAUGCACAGGCUUGGAAAUAUUCACGAAUGUAGAUUCUUGUAGGUGUCCAUGCUUAGGAAGAUUUGUCAGUUUCGAUUUUCUGCUUCAUUGUAUACUUGUCUAAUACCCUGCAAAUAUACAACCUACUGUCUCUUAGAUAACAAAAAGAAAUGUGAGAGUUGAUAGCAAAUAUUAUGCUUUCGAUUUUCUUUGCUUGAUUAUGUUGGCAUGAUUGGAUGAUUUGUUUCUUGAUAGGGUCAUGUAGCAUCAUGCAGUAGCUCUGAUGACUUAUAAGCAUGUAUUGUUAGUUUCAAUGCUAUGUAGCAUCAUGGAAUGGUUCCGAUAACUUGUUAGCAUGUUUUGUUAGUUACAGAGAAAAAGCAAAAUCCCAGCUCCGGCUGCUUCAUGAUCCUCUGGUUCUGCUUUUACCUUCCUGUUGUCAUGUGAAUUGCUCUGUUUUUAUCUAGCAGUUCAUUUGAGGCAUGAUUGAACAGGUGUACUGCUUCAUUUGUAGGUCUAAUCACUCUCAUGGUGCAUGUGUUGUAUAAAAUUGAUGUCGUGCUUGCCGUCGCCACACAUCAGUUGGGCUGUUAGGUUCAAUCCCUUCUGAGUUCUUCGGAGUCCAAGCUUGGUCCAUACAUAUACUAUAUUGUUGUUGUUCUUGUAAGGAUGGAUGUGUUGUGUGGUUGGCCAAUAUAUGUUUGGCUGGUGCAAAAUCCUCAUGAUAUAAAUUGUUGUGGUUUCUACUGCACUUAAAACUGUACCGAAUAUGCAAUAAACCUUAUGACGUACAUAGUAGUUGCCAGUACCCCUGUUUCAGGGGGGAGUUAUAGAGGCGUUGCCAGAGUUGUAAAUUUUUCUCGUUUGUUUGAGAGUUUGGGUUCUAUGUCCUGAACGGCACAUAACAUUGUUUGACUUCAAAGCUGGCUUCAACCACACAUGAACAAGGAUGAAUGAGCACCAGCAUAUGUUAUCCUAAAAUUGGCUAACUGUGGCUCAUAUUGUUUUCCCCAGGUAGCUCAUGGCGAGUGAUGCGUGAGCCAUCUCGAUCCUUUUGCUCUGUUAUUAUAUUUUAGCCAUGAAGGAUUUAGUGCUAGUGAGUUCGUAGUGGUUCCGACUGUUUGCUAAACUUCUGUUCUUGCUUGUGCUAUUUUUUUUACUGUUUAGAUGGCUCAAUUUACUUCCAAUUUUACUCUUGAGUUUUCCCAGGCAUGCAUACUCUGUUAAUUUAUUCCGAGUGCCCAUAGUUCCCUCUCUAGCAGCGCCACCUGUGCUCUUGUCUCACCCAUAACAACAAUUUACUAGUAGUAUGUCUCUUGGCAUGGGUGCUAGCUUAGGUCCCUUCUACUACUUCUCCACUUAGUAACUUGUCUGUAUUCUAUUACUUUGUACCUACGUGUGUGAGCUGUGUUAUGUACACAUAUGAUGGUGAUUCGCUCCGGCCGUUCCAGUUUUGGCGGUGGUGGUGCUGCUGCUCCUAUGAUGGUAGACUCGUCUGAUUCCCCUAGCCGCAUCCAUGGUGAUGAAGCUCGGCCUAGGCUAGAACCCCCUCCAAUUUGCUUAAGAUCACGGAAGCUUGGGUUGAUGGAGUGCUUGUAUUUAGUUUUUGUUUUG